GCCCAUGCCGGGUAUCCGACCCCCCAUGGGUGGUGCGGGGGGGAUGGUGCCCCCUCCCCAGGGUAAGGGAUCCGGUGCCAUGGGUAUCAUAAUGCCACUAUACACUGUGGGCAUCGUCGUCUUCUUCGUCUAUACAAUUAUGAAGGUUCUCUUCAAGAAAGGCCCAGACGAUGACAAAACCCCAAAACUUAAAGACUUCGGCCUCGACCCUGAGUAUCGCAAGUACGUAUUCGCAGAAGAGUAUCUGGACAAUUCGGAGUUUUCGACAAGGGACCAAAUGAGGAGGCAGGCAAGGGAGGAAUCUCGUUCAAGGAGGAAGGUUCAGCAAGACCAGGUGCCUGAAACAAAGAUAGAGGAUGAACAAUUGGACCACCUUCGUCGACGGCUGGAGGAGACGGAGAAGGCAAUGGAGCGUCUUAUGUGUCAGAUGGGCUCAGUGACUGACAAGUUGUCGACUGCUAAGAUCACCGAGGUUCUCUCCCAGGCACAAGCCCAGGCAAAGAUCCUCAAGAUAGGCCUGGACAGUGUGAUGGAAACGGCCGCUGCGUCUGCUGCUAAUGCCAACAAAAAGGAUGAAGUUGGAGACAUUACAAGCGAAGAAGAGUUGACGAGCAGUGAGGCGCUCACAACCACAAUGAGUGAAGACAACUCCCUCCCUACGUCUCUGCAGCAACAUCUCCAUGCAUUACAGGUAGAACAGUUGAAUAGUUAUUCAGAACUUUCAGUAGAUGUGGUUCCUCAGCAGGAAGGUGAGCAGGUACCGAGUACCAAAGUGGAGGCACAGUUAGACUUAAACACUGAUGAGGGAGAGCUUGGAUCAGUUUUGUCUGAACAGAAAGAGGUGACAGUAGAUCCUGCUUCACAUCAGUCCACUGUAGAUACUGUUGCACCUUGUGAGGAAUUAGAAGUAGAGAUCUCUGAACCACAAGUUAAUGUAGAUGUUCCUCAGAUGGAAGAGGUUGCUCAUACAAGUAGUCCAUCCCCCAAGCAGACAGAUUUAUCCCAAGAGGAAGGUAAUGUAGAACUUGAUCAUGCGGCAGAAGAUCAGGCUAUAAUUCAAGCAGAUGCAGAGAAAGACCAGGCUGAAGUUGUUGAACCAGAAGAGGCUGUGCCUGCAGAACCAGAAGAGGCUGUGCCUGCAGAACCAAAAGAAGUUGAAACAUCAUCUGUAGAACCCAAAGUGGUUGAAGCAGAGGUAACAGAACUUGAAGAAGCUGAAGCACCGGCUGUAGAACCCAAUGAGGCUGAACCACAGUCUGAAGAACCCAAAGAAAUUGAACAGCAGCCUGCAGAACCCAUAGAAGUUGAAAAACCAUCUGCUGAACUCACAGAAGCUGAACAACAUCCUGAACAGUCAACAGAACCAAAAGAGAUUGAACCACCACCAGCAGAGGUUGCAACUGAGGAACAGAAUGUAGAUCUUCCUUUGGAAACAAAACAACCAGGUGAAACAGAUGCUGCUCCUGCAUCCCAAGAACCAACUGAACAGCAAAAUGUUCCAGCAGAAAUUAUAUUGCCAGAAGAGAGUAAAGUUCUCGAUGAAGAUAAUGUUCUCAAAGUAAGUCCAGAAGAAGCAGAACAAAAGCAGGCAGAACCAGCAAAUACUUGCGAGGAAACACCAGUUACAAAGGACAGUACCACUUGUAUAAUGACUUUCAUAUCUGAUACUGCUGAUGACCAAAACCUUCAGCAGGGCAAGGUUUUCUCAGAUGAUGCACAACAGAAAGAAGAUCCUGGAACACCAGAUGAAGCUGAGGCAUCCCCAGUACCUCUACUAAAGGAAAUAGCUGCAGGAACUCCAAAACUGUCUCCAGAUGAUGCUCAGGGUGCUGAAGCAGAAGAUUCCUCUGAAGCAACAGAAACUGGCGCCGAUAUCUCUGAGCUGAAGUCCUUUGCAGAAGAAUCUCAUGGUCAUGAAAAACCACUUGUUGCUGAAGAAAUCCCACCUCCUAUUCCUGAAGAAGAGUAUUGUCCUAGUAUUAGGAUGGGUCUGAUAGAUGAAGCACCAAGCGAGGAUUCUGCUGUUCUUUGCAAAGGUCAGGGAACUCAGACUUCUCUAGCCUUGUCACUUACACCUCCUCAAGCUGUCAGCAAAGAACACAGCACACAGACAGAUGAAGAACAAGGAGUAGCUGUUCUUGGUGUACAGACUUCUUUCUUGCAUGAUGAAGGUGGUGUUGAAACCCGAGCUGGUAGUCAUGGGCCAGUUAAAACAGAAGGUGUGACUGAAAUCUUGCUAGAUGCACUCCUUCCCUCUGAGACCCAGCUGUUAAUCAAAGACACUCAAGUUGUUGGUUCAAAGCCAUCACAGAAUGUUGAGAUUGAUGCAAGUGAGGCAGAAGGAGUACCUUGCAUAGUAACUAGCCAUGUCAGUCUUGCAUUUUUAGGCUUAGAUUCGCAGAAACCAGAGAGUCUAACAGCAAUUUCUGUAGAUGGUAAAAAGACAGAUAAUUUAACAACAGUGCCUGCAAAGCCAGGAUCAGGAACAGUUCAGACUCCCAUUUCUCAAGAAAGUAAAAUAGAAUGUGAACACAAACCAGAAUUACUAUUAGACAAAAAUAAAGUAACAGAAGUACAAGCUGCAUGUGAAAAGAAGAUCCCAGAAGAUAUAAAACAUACAGAAGAAAGUAACCAGACUGGCAAAGAAACUGAAUUUGUUGAAAGAUCUCACCCUGCUCCAAAAACAUCUGAUCAGAUUUCAAAGGAUGAUAAAAAUGCUUUGCAAGAAUUGGAGGCCAAAGAAAUUCAAAAGGAGGCAGGAAAUGAACCACUUCCAGACAGCCCUUCUCUUGAAGCUAUUGCUGAAGCAGUAGCUGCUGCAACAACUCGUGCUGCUCUUGAUCUGCUUGCAACCACCAACUCAGAUACUCUUAUUAAACCUCAGGAAGUUCAAGAGGCUGCAGGUAGCCCCAGCAUCUCAUCUCUACCAAAGACUGCCAAUACUAAAGUCGUUCCAAGUGAGCCAGGAGAAGAGGCCAGAAAGCCAAAAGAACAAGUGACAGAAGCAUCAAGAUCUCAAACCCAAAGUGAUGCGUCACAGCCCACCACAGUGUAUGUAGCCACUAUUACACACACACCCUCACCAUCUCCCACAUCCACUCCAGAAAAAGAAAAAACUCAGGAGUCUGUAGAGGCCGACCUGAUGAAGGCAUCAUUGCCCCAGGGUGAAAUUCCAGCUGAAACUGUGAAAACUAGUCAGUCUGAUGCAGCCUCUCCAAUGCCUAUUUCUCAGGAUGUAGUUGUAACAAAGACAGUAGAAGCUGCUCUUGCUGAGGCAGCGGAAGAAGUUUGUGAUAUGAGUACGAACAAAGACAUCAAGCAUCAGGAUACUACUGCCACCCAGGACCGCCAAGAAGUCGCCACUGUUAGCCCAAACGAAGAUAGUCCGACGUCGAGCAAAGGAUCAAGUCCAGACAUGGAAGAAUACGAAGUUAUAAAUAAAGAAUCAUUGGACACUCAGCAAUGAAAGUUGCUGCAGUAGUACUUAUGGUAGUUAAUACACUGCCAUUUUAAACUGUCCACCAUAGAAAAGAGGGCUUUGGAAAAAUGAAAUAGUAAUGUUUGAAUAUCAUAUAUUCUAGAACUUUUAGGUCAUUUAAAGUUUUAGAAUAUUGGUUCCAUAAGGGAAAUUAGAAAUUAAUAGGCAGGAUAUACUGUUACACUGCAGUUUUGUUAAGAAAGACUAAUAUUAAGAAAGAAAUUUGAUUAUAAUACUUCUGCAGUAUGUUUCUUUGUAUUUUUUUCUUCCUUUGUAAAUUAUGUUAGGAAGGAGUUUUUGUAUUAGUCUGUCUGAUGAGAAAAAAAACAUGAAUGAAAAUGAAUAAUUUUUGUAUUUUCUGUAAUUAAUGCUUCAUUGUACAUCUAAAAAAAAUCAGAGGCAUUUGAAAAAUUAUUUAUUAUCAUUCAUUCUCUUCUCUGGAUUUGUCACAAUAAACUCAAACCCUUUCAUUUCUUGUUAAUAUGUUUGUUGUGGGGGGAGAGGGGGGGUGCCUCAUUCAACUCCUCCAGUGAUGUUGAAGAACUACACAUGUUAUUUCUGCAUUAAGGCAAGGAUAUUUUUUGACAAAAGAUGAAGAUACUGCUCACAAACUCAGAACACAGAGAGAAACUUCUGGUGGAGAGCCUGUCAAUGAUAAAGUAAAGGCAGCCGAGUCAACAGAAGUAUCGAGUCAAGCAGCCCAGCUUCAUACAGAUGAAGAAGGUGCAU